GGGGCGGAGCCCUCGCUGCACACCCUUGGUCGCCCUGCCCUCCUUCUCCUUCCACCCACCCACCCCGGCACCCCUCGGUCCCUCCCCCAACGGAACGGAUAGACAGUAUUGAGGAACUUCUCAAUUGAGUGAGCUGCCAAAUGGUCACUAUUAUAUUGCUCUCUACUUACAAGUGUGGAGCUGUUGGAUUUCCUUUAUUUCGGAAGAAGAACUUUGAUGCACUGAUUGUUGAUACUCCCCCUCCUUGUCAAAAAGCUCCUCAGAUGUCAUUCUCUGUUGCUCAGCCAGAAGUUGUUGAAGUUCCUCUGAAAACAAUUCCUCUGAGUGUUCCUCCACC
ensembl:lncRNA